AGAGGCCUUGCACCCCCACCGCAGGACUCCUGAAAGGUAAGUGAACUUCAAAGAGGGAGAGGGUAGAUAGUUAGGAGGGGGUAGAUAGGGAGAAGGGAGUGAGACAGGGGAAAGGGGGUAGAUAGGGAGAAGGGAGUGAGAAGGGGUAGAUAGGGGAGAAGGGAGGGAGAAGGGGUAGAUAGGGCAGAAGGGAGUGAGAAGGGGUAGAUAGGGCAAUCAUACUCCUAUCAUGCCAAGUCUGCGAGUACAUCCUGGAAUCUGGAUAUGCCUGGGCAUGAUAGGAAUGUGAUUGCUGUUCCGGCGCUCAGCUGUGAAGCGCGCACCACGGGAAGACGGACGC